CGCUCCCCCUCUCUCUCCCCUCACCCUCUCUCUCCUCUCUCUCCCUCUCCCUCUCUCUCUUUUAAAAAAUCAGCCAUUUGGGGUUUUAAGCCAUAAACGAUUUUUCUUGUUGCAGGGGAUUGCAGAGGCAAAGCUAGGCUAGGUCUUGGAGGCUGGUGUGAGGCUGUGCGGGUAAGACAGGAGCAGGCUGAUGGAAGACUCUGGUAGAAGAAAAGCCGAAAUGGAUUCUCCGUGCCUUGGAUGGAGGAAGAGGGGGAAGUGCGAGCUCCUUCAGCUCAUUCCGUCCGGUGAGGAGUGAUCCAGCUUGGGCUGACAAGAGGCUCCGGAGCCCUCACGUUCACUGCUUUUUUACCUGCCAAUCAAACUGCUACAAGACAACACCCUGUUCUGGCAUGGACGCGAAGACACAGGCAAGCAUACUGAUGUCAGUGGAAGUCCAGUGAACCCCAAGGAUCCAGGAUUUCAAACAAAAGAACCCGGGCCAAGAAAAACUGUAGGACAUGUAUGUUCAGAAAUCGUAAACGCAAGUGGAGGAGAGAACAGCUCUGCUGAGACUGUGUGAUGACAAGGAGGAAGAGCAAGAGUGAGCAUUGGAUGCAGGAAGAGAGCAUCAGAUGCUGAAAGAUUAAAUCUAGAAAUUCUCCUCAAGACCCAUUUAAAAGAAUCUGACUGGUUGCUUUGGUCUAAGAGUUCAGACAUCUCUUGCAAAACUAAGAAAGACCUCAUUUUCCAUUUGCUGGUCCUGUUUGUCAGCCCUGGGCCCUGUGAGAAGCUUACCAGGAGCUCCCACACUGGAAGGACCAUGGUCUCACAGUGAACCUGGAGCUCACCCAUUUUGGUUUGACUGAGGCCCAAGGAUCUUCCAGUCUCAGUCUCCCAGUGCUAUGGUCAUCUUCUUUGUCACAUGGGUGCUGGGGAUCCGAACUCAGUUCUUCCAGCUUGUGGAGCAAGUGCUGAGCCAUCCCUCUGUCUUCCCAAGCCCAUGUGACAUUGGGCUGAAGAUAUUCAGAGGACAUGAAAGUAGGUGAUCAGGCCCUGGACCCAAACUCCUGGUGUCUCCCCACAUGCCAAACAAGAACUAAAAAUGUAAAGACUCUCAGGUUGCCGGUCAAGCCUGGGUUCCAUCUCAGCACUGAAACAAUGCUCUGGUGUUCACAGGGUAUUUGUGCAGCUGAUCCUGAAGUUCUGAAGUCCCUUACUCUGUUGUUUGUGUCGGCAGCCAUGUUGGUGAAACUUUAUGGAGGUAGCUUCUGAAGCCGCUAGGAGAUAUAACCUGACAGCAAAUUCCCUGACCCGCUGGCUCUUACAGUCUUCACUACAGAGCAUCUGCAUGUGAGUGUGUAACCAUCCCGUCUGUGUUCCCUGGCUGGGCAAAGUUGGAUUCAAACUCCAGAGUCUCCCAUCCAGUACCUGUGAGGAUCAAUGACACAUAUCUCACCUUGCAACCAUCAACUAUCUGAAGACCCUCAGGGAGGAUGGGGCCUAGUGAGCCUCUCUCCAUUAGCCACCUUGUUUUGCUUUCUAAGACAGAGUCUGGUGCAGCCCAAACUGGCCUUGAACUCCAUAUGUAGCCAAGGCUAACUCAGAACCUGAUAACUGUCUCCAUCUUCCAAGUGCUGGGAUCAUGAGCAUUCCCCACUGUGCCUCCUGCAAACAUACUGAAAGACAGAAGCAAAGAAUCCAAGCCUCAUGGACACGAUCCAGAAGCUCCAGAGUCGUCCUGUAAUCAUCAAAUUAGUCAAUGGAUAUGAAGGUUUUGGGCGAUGUAGAAUAAGACAGGAGGAAGAGGUUAUUUUCGUGGGUACCAAUCUUCUCACCAUGAAAGAGCUUUUCCCCUCCUUCCCUCCCUCCCUCCCUCCCUCCCUUCCUCCCUCCCUUU